GGGAAGGUGGCUCAGUGGUAGAGUGCUUGUCUUGCAUGCAUGAGGCACUGGGUUCCUUCCA
rnacentral:tRNA from 1 species